rnacentral:ncRNA from 1 species
UUAAAGUUUUAUUCUAGCUUAUUAUAUUAAUUUAUGAAUUAUUUAUAUAUGUAAAUUUUUGUGGGAUAAAUUGGUAAUUUAGAUAGGUGCCUAUAGGUUUAAUUCGCAGUAUAAAAUAUUAAAUAUUAAUUAAAAUUAGAUUUAGAAAUUUAUAAUAGUAUUAACUAUAUUUGUGCCAGCAGUUGCGGUUAUACAGAUAAUGCAAUUAAUUUUUUUUAGUUUGUAAUUAAAUGAUUUAUUAUAAAUAAAAAUUUAAAUUUAUUAGGUGAAAUUUUAAGUUUAAAGAAUUUUUAUGUUAUUAUUUGAAGUUACUAAAUUUAGGUUUAAACUAGGAUUAGAUACCCUAUUAUUAUAAAUGUAAAAAUAAAAACUAAAUUAUUAAUAGUUAUGUUCUUAAAAGUUAAAGAAUUUGGCGGUAUUUUAGUCUAUUUAGAGGAACCUGUUCUAUAAUUGAUAAUCCACGAUUUAUUUUACUUAAUUUAUUAGUUUGUAUAUCGUCGUAGGUUGAAUAUUUUUACAGAAAUUUAAUAUUCAAGAUUCUUUAUAAGGAACAAAAUCAGAUCAAGGUGCAGCUUAUAAUUAAGGAGAGAUGGGUUACAAUAAAUUUAUUUAUAUGGUUAAGUAUUUGAAAAAUAUUUAUUAAAGUGGAUUUAAGAGUAAUAAAGUUAAAUUUAAUUUUAUGAUUUUAGCUCUAGAAUAUGUACAUAUCGCCCGUCGCUCUCAAAUAAAUUGAGAUAAGUCGUAACAUAGUAGGUGUACUGGAAAGUGUACCUAGUCAGAA